rnacentral:rRNA from 1 species
UACAGAGGUCUCAAGCGUUGUUCGGAUUCAUUGGGCGUAAAGCGCGCGUAGGCGGCCCUGUAAGUCCGUUGUGAAAGUCGAAGGCCCAACCUUCGAAAGCCGAUGGAUACUGCAGGGCUAGAGUCCGGAAGAGGCGAGUGGAAUUCCUGGUGUAGCGGUGGAAUGCGCAGAUAUCAGGAGGAACACCGGUGGCGAAGGCGGGUCUCUGGGCCGAUACUGACGCUGAGGAGCGAAAGCGUGGGGAGCGAACAGG